rnacentral:tRNA from 1 species
UAGCUUAAUUGGUAAAGAAUCUGCCUACAAUGCAGGAGAUCCUGGUUCAAUCCCUGG